ACAGUCUGCUGAGGUUGGAGC
rnacentral:miRNA from 4 species